CUAUAGCAAGUGUACAUGAUAUUCAGUUUAGGUUUCGCUUUUUUUCCAUGGUUUAGGUUCCGAUUUACCUCAGGACAAGCAGGAGAUGAUGCGAGUGAACGCACUCCCAUGUUUCAGAUGAGUGGCUUCAUAUGUAUGUUACAUAUCGACUUCUCCAUCUCCUGCCAUGGAAACUAAUGGCUUCCGGAUAGAUCAGAAUAGACUUUGGGGAGGUUGGUGCAGUGUUUGACUGGAAGAAACGAGGUGAAGCUUCUCCCAAUCGUCUGGCGGUGAGGAGGACGCGAGUUGGAGGUGGAUUGAGCUCGAUGGCCAGGAGGGGCCGUCAACUGAUUGGGGAGUUUGGUGCAGCGUGUGAUGGCAGGAA